rnacentral:rRNA from 1 species
GAACUUAAGCAUAUCAAUAAGCGGAGGAAAAGAAACCAACCGGGAUUGCCUCAGUAACGGCGAGUGAAGCGGCAAGAGCUCAAAUUUGAAAGCUGGCUCCUUCGGGGUCCGCAUUGUAAUUUGCAGAGGAUGCUUCGGGUGCAGCCCCCGUCUAAGUGCCCUGGAACGGGCCGUCAUAGAGGGUGAGAAUCCCGUAUGGGGCGGGGUGUCUGCGUCCGUGUGAAGCUCCUUCGACGAGUCGAGUUGUUUGGGAAUGCAGCUCUAAAUGGGUGGUAAAUUUCAUCUAAAGCUAAAUACUGGCCGGAGACCGAUAGCGCACAAGUAGAGUGAUCGAAAGAUGAAAAGCACUUUGAAAAGAGAGUUAAACAGCACGUGAAAUUGUUGAAAGGGAAGCGCUUGCAACCAGACUCGCUCGCGGGGUUCAGCCGGGCUUCGGCCCGGUGUACUUCCCCGCGGGCGGGCCAGCGUCGGUUUGGGCGGCCGGUCAAAGGCCUCCGGAAUGUAGCGCCCUUCGGGGCGCCUUAUAGCCGGGGGUGCAAUGCGGCCAGCCUGGACCGAGGAACGCGCUUCGGCACGGACGCUGGCAUAAUGGUUGUAAACGACCCGUCUU